rnacentral:rRNA from 1 species
CCUACGGGUGGCAGCAGUGGGGAAUAUUGCACAAUGGGGGAAACCCUGAUGCAGCGACGCCGCGUGAGUGAAGAAGUAAUUCGUUAUGUAAAGCUCUAUCAGCAGGGAAGAAAAUGACGUUACCUGAGUAAGAAGCCCCGGCUAACUCCGUGCCAGCAGCCGCGGUAUUACGGAGGGGGCAAGCGUUAACCGGAUUUACUGGGUGGAACGGGAGCGUAGACGGCAGUGCAAGUCUGGAGUGAAAGGCGGGGGCUCAACCACCGGACUGCUCUGGAAACUGUACGGCUGGAGUGCAGGAGAGGUAAGUGGAAUUCCUAGGGUAGCGGUGAAAUGCGUAGAUAUCAGGAGGAACACCAGUGGCGAAGGCGACUUACUGGACUGUAACUGACGUUGAGGCUCGAAAGCGUGGGGAGCAAACAGGAUUAGAUACCCUUGUAGUC